rnacentral:antisense_RNA from 1 species
UUUGACACGACAUUGCUCACAUUGCUCACAUUGCUUCCAGUGUAAUUUAUAGCUUUUAGGUAAAGCUGUGGUAUU